rnacentral:misc_RNA from 1 species
AGCAAGGAUACCCACCAUCAGGUUAUCCACCUGCUGGUGGGUACCCUCCCACAGGGUACCCUGGUUCGUCUGCUCAUCACCAAGGACAUGGAUCUGGACUAGGGAUGGGGACAGUUCUAGCUGGCGGUGCGGCUGCAGCUGCUGCUGUGUAUGGUGCUCAUCAGUUAUCACAUGGUCAUGGGCACGGGCACGGGCACGGUCAUUCAGGGCACGGUUAUCCGGCGUACGGGGGUUACCAAGGUUAUGGUGGGCAUGGUCACCAUCACGGGAAGUUCAAGCACCAUGGCCACCACGGCAAAUUCAAGCACGGGAAGUUCAAGCAUGGGAAGUUU